AAACCGGGAUUCCCCUUUGGCCAUCUCUCAUUCUUUCAAUUCUAAAGAUGGAGACUGGCGAACGGCGAUGGGGUCUGCGGUGGGCGGUGUUUCGUCGCGACAGACUCUAGGAAAUUUCACGAUAGAACUAGCUUUAGGCGCUUGAGCCUUGCCGUCUUUUUGGGGUGUGGCCUGUCUCCGUCUGCCAAAGGCUUUGAGCUUCCUGGUGUUCAUCGUACCUCCGCUUGGUCCUGUCGUGACUAAACCACGACAGCAGGAAAAAAAAAAAAGCAGCUAGCCAAGUUGCUGAGGAAUUACGGUGUGCAGAGCCCUCGCAGCUCCUUCUCUUGGGAACUCCUGGUCUGGUUAGGUUCUCAGCGAGGAAACAGCCUCCCACCCCGCCCGAUUCCACCUAAUUAACUCAAGGGCCAGCUCCUUUUGCUGGCCUCCCUGCUUCCACGGAGCAGUUAGGCCCGCCUAAACUCAGCGAGCGUUUCUGGAGCACCUUGAGGAUAGGGACCAAGUAACAGAGUCCGGGUGUUAAGGUUAUGAUAGUAGUUAACGUUUUUGGAAAGAGACUGUGUCAGGCUCUGUGCUAAGAACUUUACAUGAAGUAUUUAUUCCUCAUGACUGUGAGCUCCUCUAGGACACUGAAAAAGCAUCCUAACAUGCUCAAGACAGGAUAGGAAAUGGUCCUCUGGCUUGAAAGACUCAGCAUCCAGAAGUAGUACCUCACUCUCCAUCCAGUGGUCACCCCCCAGAAAUGUGCUCUCGCCCUACCCACCUGCCUGGGAGCUGCCUGCCUCUUGAUGUGCUGACACCUGCUCCUGCUGCUGCUGCUGCUGCUGCUGCUGUUGCUGCUGCUGCUGCUGUUGCCGUUCUCUCAAGGGCUGGCGGAACUGAGCAGCCCCCAGGACAACAUUCCGGAGCUUGGCCCAGCGCAGACGCCCACCUGGUGUGCCAGACGGCCACUUGCUUUCCAACACAGC
rnacentral:lncRNA from 1 species